UACGGAGGGGACUAGCGUUGUUCGGAAUUACUGGGCGUAAAGCGCACGUAGGCGGAUUUGUAAGUCAGGGGUGAAAUCCCGAGGCUCAACCUCGGAACUGCCUUUGAUACUGCAAAUCUCGAGUCCGGAAGAGGUGAGUGGAAUUCCUAGUGUAGAGGUGAAAUUCGUAGAUAUUAGGAGGAACACCGGUGGCGAAGGCGGGUCUCUGGGCCGAUACUGACGCUGAGGAGCGAAAGCAUGGGUAGCGAACAGG
rnacentral:rRNA from 1 species